rnacentral:rRNA from 1 species
UACGUAGGGAGCGAGCGUUGUCCGGAUUUACUGGGUGUAAAGGGAGCGUAGACGGUACGCCAAGUCUGAAGUGAAAUGCCGCAGCUUAACUGCGGAACUGCUUUGGAAACUGGCGGGCUGGAGUGCGGGAGGGGUAAGCGGAAUUCCUAGUGUAGCGGUGAAAUGCGUAGAUAUUAGGAGGAACACCAGUGGCGAAGGCGGCCUGCUGGACGAUGACUGACGUUGAGGCUCGAAAGCGUGGGGAGCAAACAGG